rnacentral:rRNA from 1 species
AUACGGAGGGGGCUAGCGUUGUUCGGAAUUACUGGGCGUAAAGGGCGCGCAGGCGGCCCGGCAAGUCCUACGUGAAAUCCCACAGCUCAACUGUGGAACUGCGUGGGAAACUGCCAGGCUUGAGUCCGGGAGAGGAGAGUGGAAUUCCCAGUGUAGCGGUGAAAUGCGUAGAUAUUGGGAGGAACACCGGUGGCGAAGGCGGCUCUCUGGACCGGUACUGACGCUGAGGCGCGAAAGCUAGGGGAGCAAACGGGAUUAGAUACCCCGGUAGUCC